rnacentral:rRNA from 1 species
AGCGGCAGACGGGAGAGUAACACGUGGGAACGCGCCCUUCGGUUCGGAAUAACUCAGGGAAACUUGGGCUAAUACCGAAUACGCUUACGGAAAGAUUUGCCGAAGGAACGGCCCGCGUCCGAUUAGCUUGUUGGUGAGGUAACGGCUCACCAAGGCGACGAUCGGUAGCUGGUCUGAGAGGAUGACCAGCCUCACUGGGACUGAGACACGGCCCAGACUCCUACGGGAGGCAGCAGUGGGGAAUAUUGGACAAUGGGCGCAAGCCUGAUCCAGCCAUGCCGCGUGGGUGAUGAAGGCCCUAGGGUUGUAAAGCCCUUUCGGCGGGGAAGAUUGACGGUACCCGCAGAAGAAGCCCCGGCUAACUUCGUGCCAGCAGCCGCGGUAAUACGAAGGGGGCUAGCGUUGCUCGGAAUUACUGGGCGUAAAGCGCACGU